CCGAGACUGUUAAAAAAUAAUUAUUGGAUUUGAAAUUGCUUCCUCAUAUCACUUUGCGACCGGGGAGACAGGGGGCAGGGUGUGAGGUUAGAAUUAUUUUCUUAAUAAUGCUGCUUAGAUUUCCAUGAAUUUAGAAUUAACAUAUAAUAGCAUAUAAUAGAGGGGGAGGACAGGGGGUACCCUUCUCCCUUCUCCCACCCCUCUUCUCCUUUCUCCUUUUUUUUUUUAUUUUUUUAAUUUACCGGAAAAAAGGGAGAUAUUUUAUUUUUUCAUAUUUUAUUUUUUUCUCCAACUUUUUCUCCUUUCUCCCAGCCUUCCUCUCCUUUCUCCUACCCCUUUUUUCCUUUCUCCCACCCCCUUUCUCCUACCCCCUUUCUUCCUGUCUCCCUUACCCCUGUCCUCCCUCA
rnacentral:lncRNA from 1 species